ACAUCGGUAGCACAGUGGUCAAUGCAGUCUGCCGGAAGCAGAAAAACGCGGGUUCGAUUCCCGUCCGAUGUA
rfam:Nippostrongylus brasiliensis genome assembly, scaffold: NBR_scaffold0005647